GAUGAAGAACGUAGCGAAAUGCGAUAAGUAAUGUGAAUUGCAGAAUUCAGUGAAUCAUCGAGUCUUUGAACGCACAUUGCGCCCCCUGGUAUUCCGGGGGGCAUGCCUGUCCGAGCGUCGUUGCCGCCCUCAAGCACGGCUUGUGUGUUGGGCCCCCGCCCCCCGGCUUCGGGGGGCGGGCCCGAAAGGCAGCGGCGGCACCGCGUCCGGUCCUCGAGCGUAUGGGGCUUCGUCACCCGCUCUGUAGGCCCGGCCGGCGCCCGCCGGCGACCCCAAUCAAUCUUUCCAGGUUGACCUCGGAUCAGGUAGGGAUACCCGCUGAACUUAAGCAUAUCAAUAAGCGGAGGA
rnacentral:misc_RNA from 1 species